AAUCCGUCGACUUUAAAAAUCGUGAGGGUUCAAGUCCCUCUAUC
rnacentral:tRNA from 1 species